GCAUAUUGGACCUACCUUCAGUUUGUGACCUAGCAGAGCGCUUUCUGCCUCCACCCAGCUCUGAAAACAGCGAGGAGCUUUUUUGUUCUGUGGAUACUUUUCCCUCUCUGCCCACAGAAUCAGAAAAGACCAAGCUAUUUUCUGACUCCCUGCGUCCUGCUUAUGUAACUUGCAGAUGACGACUGUGCAACCUCUGGCAGAGCCCUGGAAAAUUUUCUUGUCGGUGACUCAGGUGCUUGGCAAACGGGCUGGCGCGGCGGGCUCAGAGAUGAAAUUGCAGUUAGAGGCACUCCCUGGGAGAGAGCGAUCUACCCUCUGCAGUUCCUGCGAGCUUUUCUGCUGGAGGCUCUGAGAAAGCAAACGUGAGAUGUUAUCCAAAAGCAGGGCUGUGUGAGCCCACUGAACCUAACGAUGCGGC